rnacentral:lncRNA from 1 species
CUUAUUAGUCAAUGCAUCACUAGUGUGUGUUACAUCUCAAUGAUUUGACCUUAUGUCUGUACAGAUUAUUGUGGCCAAGCCCAACAUCCUUCUCCCUGCCUCUGUGAGUGCCCUGAAGAAGGCAUCACGCCUGAUGGAGUUGGUCCCUACUGUCCGGCCCUGCAGGGAGCAGCUGGACAAGAAGACACAGUGGACCAACACCAACGAGGAGAGCCUGAGGAGGAUUAAAAAAAAACUGGCCUCCAUAGAGCUCGACCUGGAGGAAGGCCUGAACAAGGUCAACGACGGUCAGGACAUCAACCAAGAGAGGCAGAAGAAUGAGGGAUGCUUCAGAGCCUGGAUUGAGAAGUGGAUGGGGAAGAGGAAGGAGGAAAGACUGAGGGAUGAAGAUGUGAAUAGGGAAGAUAAAGGGAGGAUGGGCGAGGAAGUGAGGGCACUGAUCCAAGUGAUGAAGAGAAACUGCAGUGAAAGUGAUCUUGAGGCAGUAAACCUGGACAGUUGGCUGAAUGACUUGGAAAGGUUGAAAGUGGCCUUCAAGAAAUGCACUGGAGAGAUGGCCGAAAUGAGCCCAGGGAAAGUCUCUGGUCCUGUGUCUGGCCUCUCUCCUCUUGUGACCUCAGCACCCCGGACCCUGGCUGAAGCCCUACAAGCCCUGCCCUCUGCUGUGGCCCGUCCCUCCCAAAAGGAUGUCCCAAAGCCUCCGACACCUCCAAGCCCUGUCUCUGUCAUUGUUGCUUCGCCUGCUGUGGAGUACUUACCAUACCACCGCAGCCCUCGCCUGGCCCCAAUCACCAACCUGAGUGAGAACGGCAGGAAGCUGCUCCAGAAAAUGUCAGGAGUGACGCCACAGGUGAGAGGAAACAGGAAGGGAAUAUUAGCCAUAUUUCCUUCUACAGUAUAUCAUACCUCUAGAUACCAUAGCUCAAGAGUAGAAAAUAGCCAUAAGCUUAUAUUACUUUAUCUCCUUGUCCAAAAUAUUCAGGAAAGGAAGGUCAAAAGGAAAAAGACCAAGGGAAAAAAGCAAGUGAAGAAAGAGAAGGCCAGUAAGAUGCAGCAGGUGGAAAAUGUUGGAGAAACUAAGGAGGACAAGAAAGAUGAAAAGAAGAGUCUGAGGAAGAGGUUUCUCCAGUGGCUGCUGCCCAAACUGAGAUGUUCGAAGAAAUAAUGGCCAACUACUACUACAACACACACACACACACACACACACACAUACUAUUGAUAUUGGUCUCAUUGUUUAUUUUGAGAUAUGCACCAUUCUUAAAAAAUAAAAAAGACCCAAUAAUUAUAUUGGUUCCCAUACAGCCUACUAGUAGGUAUGAUAAUAUGACAAUGCGUGUAAUUUCAGGCUU